GGGGAAUAUUGCACAAUGGGCGGAAGCCUGAUGCAGCGACGCCGCGUGAGGGAUGACGGCCUUCGGGUUGUAAACCUCUUUCAGCAGGGAAGAAGCGAAAGUGACGGUACCUGCAGAAGAAGCGCCGGCUCACUACGUGCCAGCAGCCGCGGUAAUACGUAGGGCACAAGCGUUGUCCGGAAUUAUUGGGCGUAAAGAGCUCGUAGGCGGUUUGUCGCGUCUGCCGUGAAAGUCCGGGGCUCAACUCCGGAUCUGCGGUGGGUACGGGCAGACUAGAGUGAUGUAGGGGAGACUGGAAUUCCUGGUGUAGCGGUGAAAUGCGCAGAUAUCUGGAGGAAUACCGGUGGCGAAGGCGGCAUCCUGGACCGACAUUGACGCUGAGGAGCGAAAGCUAGGGGAGCAAA
rnacentral:rRNA from 1 species